GACGAACGCUGGCGGCGUGCUUAACACAUGCAGGUCGAACGAUGAAGCGGUGCUUGCACCGUGGAUUAGUGGCGAACGGGUGAGUAAUACGUGAGUGACCUACCUUUGACUCUGGGAUAAGCCUGGGAAACUGGGUCUAAUACCGGAUACGACCAAUCUCUGCAUGGGGUGUUGGUGGAAAGCGUUAUGGAGUGGUUUUAGAUGGGCUCACGGCCUAUCAGCUUGUUGGUGAGGUAAUGGCUUACCAAGGCGACGACGGGUAGCCGGCCUGAGAGGGUGACCGGCCACACUGGGACUGAGACACGGCCCAGACUCCUACGGGAGGCAGCAGUGGGGAAUAUUGCACAAUGGGCGCAAGCCUGAUGCAGCGACGCCGCGUGAGGGAUGACGGCCUUCGGGUUGUAAACCUCUGUUAGCAUCGAAGAAGCGAAAGUGACGGUAGGUGCAGAGAAAGCGCCGGCUAACUACGUG
rnacentral:rRNA from 1 species